AAAUAGUAAAUAUUCCUACUUAAAAAAGUUGAGCAAAGUAAGAAGCAUAAAAAUUCAAUUUAUGUGGACCCAGUAAUUCAUUGUUCCAUGUUCAUUUUAGUGCCCGAUUGGCCACGAGGUUUUGUUUCAUGCUUAUUGCUAUGAUUGAUUUAGUGGUAAAAAGGUUAAGAUAAUAUUUCAAAAUAUAUUAUGGGACAAUUGGGAUUAAAAUUUAAAUUAUGUAAAGUACAACAUCAAUAUAUGCAGUUUAGGUGCGGAUGUUCGCAUAAAUUUUGUAACAACACACUUUGAUGCUCAAAAUUUAGUGUUUUUUUUUUUUAUAACACUAAAAAUUUUUGGUUUAAUCUAUGCAUUUUGGUAAACAAUGUUCAUUAAUAGGAUCAUUGGCACAUGGCUCUAUGUUUUACCAAAAUAAUUAAAAAUAAUAAUUCAUUGAAUAUUACCCAUGCUAUAGGAAUAAAAUUGUUGCCCAUUCCACAUGCAUCUGUGGCUGUGCAUGUGAUUAUAUUUUAAUUCUUUUUGAAGUUUAUGUCUUUCCUAGAACUUAAGAUGAUAUUAUAAAAAUGAUAAGGAUUGUUUUGACUCUUAACCACAGGAGAAGAAAAAGGAAAAAAUUAUUUCACAUUGAUAUUCUUGUCAUCAACCAAAGAUUGUUUCGAUUGUGUGUGACAUUAUCAAAGCGAUUUGUAGUUACUUUGGCUCACUAAUCAAGCGCAGUUAAAUCAAUCUAAACAAAAAUUUCAUAGUUGAAUUAAGAAUCUUACGAUUCAAGAGCAUUAUUUCACAUUUAAAUGACAGCAUGUUGAUAGUGGAUUACUGUACAUGUUUAGUAAUAUACGAAGACAAAAAAUUUUUAAGA
rnacentral:lncRNA from 1 species